rnacentral:rRNA from 1 species
AUUGAACGCUGGCGGCAGGCCUAACACAUGCAAGUCGAACGAGUGGCGGACGGGUGAGUAAUGUCUGGGAAACUGCCUGAUGGAGGGGGAUAACUACUGGAAACGGUAGCUAAUACCGCAUACCAUCGGAUGUGCCCAGAUGGGAUUAGCUAGUAGGUGGGGUAAAGGCUCACCUAGGCGACGAGCCCUAGCUGGUCUGCGAGGAUAACACGCAAACCGGGAAUGAAGACACGGUCACGACUCCUACGGGAGGCAGCAGUGGGGAAUAUUGCACAAUGGGCGCAAGCCUGAUGCAGCCAUGCCGCGUGUAUGAAGAAGGCCUUCGGGUUGUAAAGUACUUUCAGCGGGGAGGCGUUACCCGCAGAAGAAGCACCGGAUAACUCCGUGCCAGCAGCCGCGGUAAUUC